UAAUGUAUCACAAUGAAUUCAUUAUUACUUGACUUUAACGUAUAACAAAAAAAAACCUUAUACGAUUAGUAUAAUCAAUUAGCGGGUUCAUUCUCAUUGCAGGGAUGUGUACAUUUGUCUUCCACCAAAUAUAAAAUAACGUGUCGUAUUCGAAGUUCAAUUAAUCUACCAAUCAUACUUUUGCACCUUACAAUUAUCAUACAUCGGAUCGUAUUAUAUAAGUAUCGAACCGCAACUACUAGUUAGUAACUAUGUACUUCUCAAUGGAAUAUGUAUACGAAGAUAUUCUGACUUUAAACCAGACAAGAAAACCAGCAGCGAUCAUGCC
rnacentral:lncRNA from 1 species